UGUUCUGGAACUGAUGCCAAACAGAAGGUCCUCUUGGCAGGCACAUUAGCCCUCACUGUGCUCUGCAGAUUACUCCUCUGAACCAUCUUAGAUUGGCAAAUGUGCCUUAUAGAAAUUGGCUUACCACCCACUUCACAGGCCUCCCGCCAGCCAAACAGAUGGGCACAAGUUGUUUGGCUAGAGAAAGCCUUCUAGCACCUGGGAAGCUUGCUUUCUGAAACCUGCUAGAGUUCAGAUUUAAUGCCUUGUCCUCCAGUAGAAGCCAAAUCCCCAACCUGGGACUUCCAUGACUCUGAGGAAAGCCAACAGGAUGAAAGAAUCUGAAGUCUCCCUGCCAAGUGACUGCUGGGCUACGUUCUGAUGCAUCCCGGUCCCAAAUCUCGCACACGCUCUAAGGUGUAAUGGAAGGAAUCAAGUUCAUCAUCAAUGUGCCAGGCAAUCUGUAAAUGGCAAGAAAAUGCAUAUGGACAAAUGGAGUAAAUCAACCUAUAUGUGCCUGCCAGAGGCCUGUCCCAAAUGGUGGAUAGCAAAGGCUGAAAAUGACUACCAGAUGAGAAAGGGGAAAGAAGGGCCAGCAAUCAGAACAUUUGGCAGCAUUGGCAAAUCCUUUAGAAAUAAGCAGGCCCUAUUCGAAUUCAUGCCAGGGAUGAAAGACAAAUAAUUUGGGAAGUGGGGAGCUGGGGGGAAUCAAUUUUACAUUUCAUAUC